CAUCGCCUAAAGCUAAUUUUGUAGGUAGCGCCUGCCCACUGACCCGUUAAAUGGCCGCAGUAUUUUGACUGUGCAAAGGUAGCAUAAUCAUUUGUCCCUUAAUUGGGGGCUAGUAUGAAUGGCUUGACGAAGCGGCAGCUGUGUCGGGGGUAAAUUUAAACUUAAUCUUUAGGUCAAAAAGCUUAAAUAUAACCGCAGGACGAGAAGACCCCAUAGAUCUUUAUAUAGUAUUUUAGGUCUAAGCCGCCGCCCCCGCCCCUAGCAAGUAAUAUAUUUAGUUGGGGUGACGCGAAGACAUAAACUCUUUUUUUAAAAACUUUAAUUAAAGGCCAAAUGACCCGGCCACCGAUCAAAAGUUAAAGUUACCUUGGGGAUAACAGCGUAAUCUGCCCUCAGAGUCCUUAUCAAAUGGCAGGUUUGCGACCUCGAUGUUGGAUUAAGAUUCUCUUUAGGAGCAGCCCCCUAACAGAGAGGUCUGUUCGACCUAUAGAUUCUUACAUGAUCU
rnacentral:rRNA from 1 species